UACGUAGGGGGCGAGCGUUGUCCGGAGUUACUGGGCGUAAAGCGUGCGUAGUCGGUUAUCUAAGUCGGGUGUGAAAUCCCCGGGCUCAACCUGGGAAUUGCAUUCGAUACUGGAUAGCUAGAGUUCGGCAGAGGGAAGCGGAAUUUCCGGUGUAGCGGUGAGAUGCGUAGAUAUCGGAAGGAACAUCAGUGGCGAAAGCGGCUUCCUGGACCAGAACUGACGGAUCAGGCACGAAAGCGUGGGGAGCAAACAGG
rnacentral:rRNA from 1 species